AGUUAGACUAAUAAAUUUAUUGAAUCCUCAAGAUUGAGGGACCUAAGUGUAAGCUUUCAAAAUUUAUGUCAAAAAAAUAAAAUAUGUAUGUAGGCAUAGAAAUCCAUUCUUUAAAAAGGAGUCAGAGAACACAGCUACCAAAGCAAAAAGAAAGAGUGGUUAAAAGUGAACCAUCAAAGCACAAUUAAAACUUUGCCGCCCAAAAUGACGUUGUCCUUCCAUCUUCAUCUGAUUUCUUGCACACAUACAAAUCAACCACACAACUGGUUUCGACCAUCUCUAUCUCUCGACACCCCUACAACCCACCUUCACUUCCAUGGUUAAACACCACGAUGUAGUUCGCCACCCGCAAUCAGUAUCGGACACCUUCACAACACCGUAACACCUUUCGUUAAGCCUUGCACCCCGCCGGAGAAGGACCGCAACACCUCGGAGUAAUCGAGGUGCCUUCGAAGAAUAACAAGCCUUCCCGGAACGUGAAGACGACACUGAAGACUUUCGGAGCUUACGACGGAACUCAACCCGUCACCGUCUUGCCGCCGGAACUCGAAGACGUCACGGAGCACGAGUCGGAGACGACCGAGGUUCACAACGGGAAUCAUCUCGUCAUCUCAUCGCCGAAGCUGUUCGAAUCACGUUGAAGCUUACUGUUCGGAUAACCAUUACGUUCGUUCUCUUGGAAUUCUCCAUCCUUACUCGUACGCAAUCAAUGUGGUGUUGAAUGAUGUCGAUUGCUAAUAGGAUGCAUGCUCACUUAGGGCUGGACAAGGCCUUAGUGACUUAAUAACGAUGAUAGUCAAGAUGUGAACUUGUUUGUUUUUAACUUUAAGACAACGUAAAUAUUCAAUAAUUCAAUAAAAUGAAACUUUUUUAAUC